rnacentral:rRNA from 1 species
UACGUAGGGGGCUAGCGUUGUCCGGAAUCAUUGGGCGUAAAGAGCGUGUAGGCGGCUCGGUAAGUCCGCUGUAAAAGUCAAAGGCUCAACCUUUGAAUGUCAGUGGAUACUGCCGGGCUAGAGUCCGGAAGAGGCGAGUGGAACUCCUGGUGUAGCGGUGGAAUGCGCAGAUAUCAGGAAGAACACCAACGGCGAAGGCAGCUCGCUGGGACGGUACUGACGCUGAGACGCGAAAAGCGUGGGGGAGCGAACAGG